rnacentral:misc_RNA from 1 species
GAUGAAGAACGUAGCGAAAUGCGAUAAGUAAUGUGAAUUGCAGAAUUCAGUGAAUCAUCGAAUCUUUGAACGCACAUUGCGCCCGCUAGUAUUCUGGCGGGCAUGCCUGUCCGAGCGUCAUUUCAACCCUCAAGCCCCCGGGCUUGGUGUUGGGGAUCGGCGAGCCUCCGCGCCCGCCGUCCCCUAAAUCUAGUGGCGGUCUCGCUGUAGCUUCCUCUGCGUAGUAGCACACCUCGCACUGGGAAACAGCGCGGCCACGCCGUUUAACCCCCAACUUCUGAACGUUUGACCUCGGAUCAGGUAGGAAUACCCGCUGAACUUAAGCAUAUCAAUAAGCGGAGGA